GGGCGCUUAGCUCAGGGGGAGAGCGCUUGCUUGACAUGCAAGAGGUCGAUGGUUCAAAUCCAUCAGUGCCCACCA
rnacentral:tRNA from 1 species